rnacentral:rRNA from 1 species
UACGGGGGGGGCAAGCGUUGUUCGGAAUUACUGGGCGUAAAGGGCGCGUAGGCGGCUUGUUAAGUCGGGUGUGAAAACUCUGGGCUCAACCCAGAGCCUGCAUUCGAAACUGAUGAGCUAGAGUUCUGGAGGGGAAAGCGGAAUUCCUGGUGUAGCAGUGAAAUGCGUAGAUAUCAGGAGGAACACCGGUGGCGAAGGCGGCUUUCUGGACAGAAACUGACGCUGAUGCGCGAAAGCUAGGGGAGCAAAC